CCUACGGGAGGCAGCAGUGAGGAAUAUUGGUCAAUGGGCGGAAGUCUGAACCAGCCAAGUAGCGUGCGGGAUGAAGGCCCUACGGGUCGUAAACCGCUUUUGCACGGGGAUAACACCCUCCACUUGUGGAGGUUUGCAGGUACCGCGCGAAUAAGGACCGGCUAAUUCCGUGCCAGCAGCCGCGGUAAUACGGAAGGCCCGAGCGUUAUCCGGAUUCAUUGGGAUUAAAGGGAGCGUAGGCGGGCGUUCAAGUCAGCUGUAAAAUCGCGCGGCUCAACCGCGCCCCGGAGUUGAAACUGGACGCGUUGAGGUCACAACAGGCAGGGGGAAUUCGUGGUGGAGCGGUGAAAUGCAUAG
rnacentral:rRNA from 1 species